GUAGGUGGCAAGCGUUGUCCGGAAUUAUUGGGGCGUAAAGCGCGCGCAGGCGGUUCUUUAAGUCUGAUGUGAAAGCCCACGGGCUCAACCGUGGAGGGUCAUUGGAAACUGGAGAACUUGAGUACAGAAGAGGAAAGCGGAAUUCCACGUGUAGCGGUGAAAUGCGUAGAGAUGUGGAGGAACACCAGAGGCGAAGGCGGCUUUCUGGUCUGUAACUGACGCUGAGGCGCGAAAGCGUGGGGAGCAAACAGGAUUAGAUACCCUGGUAGUCCACGCCGUAAACGAUGAGUGCUAAGUGUUAGGGGGUUUCCGCCCCUUAGUGCUGCAGCUAACGCAUUAAGCACUCCGCCUGGGGAGUACGGCCGCAAAGGCUG
rnacentral:rRNA from 1 species